AGCUCCAAAGUCCAACCCAUCUUGCCCGAUGCCACUCGUGUGUUCGCUUAAGAAAAGGCCCGCUGGAUCGGUCCAGUGGCCCGAAGCCGCAGAGUCCGAGAAGCCCGUCACCUGGUUCUGCUGUUUCCAGGUGGAUCGGUACAUUGAGAAUUCUCUGUGCUCCAGAUGCUCAGUCUGCUAUACUGCCUUCAUGGAGCUUACCUUCUUAACCUCCUCACACUCAUCUAAUUAGAGUAGAACGGGGUCAGUCGGUAAAUAAAAGAGCAUUACCACUAACAAGUGGCUAAAAGCCAUAUUUUUGCUUUUAGGACAA